rnacentral:rRNA from 1 species
UCCCAGACUCCUACGGGAGGCAGCAGUGAGGAAUAUUGGUCAAUGGGCGCGAGCCUGAACCAGCCAAGUCGCGUGAGGGAGGACGGCCCUACGGGUUGUAAACCUCUUUUGCCGGGGAGCAACGGGCGUCACGUGUGGCGUCACUGAGAGUACCCGGAGAAAAAGCAUCGGCUAACUCCGUGCCAGCAGCCGCGGUAAUACGGAGGAUGCGAGCGUUAUCCGGAUUUAUUGGGUUUAAAGGGUGCGUAGGCGGAUUUUUAAGUCAGCGGUAAAAUGUCCGGGCUCAACCCGGGCCGGCCGUUGAAACUGGCGAUCUUGAGUGGAAGAGAAGUAUGCGGAAUGCGUGGUGUAGCGGUGAAAUGCAUAGAUAUCACGCAGAACCCCGAUUGCGAAGGCAGCAUGCCGGCUUCCGACUGACGCUGAAGCACGAAAGCGUGGGGAUCGAACAGGAUUAGAUACCCCAGUAAAA